GAAAAAGUGAAUAUUAUUGGUUUAGUAGGUAAUAUUUAUUUGUUUAUUAAAAUUAUAAUUUUUAGGUGAAAUUUUAAUUUUUUAAUAUUUAUAUUUAUUGAAGCUAUGGAAUUUAUACUAAAAACGAGGAUUAGAUACCCUUUUAUUGUUAAUGUAAAAUUUUUAAACCAGGGUAGUAAUAGUUAAGUUCUUGAAACCCAAAGAAUUUGGCGGUAUUUUAGUCCUUUCAGAGGAAUCUGUCCCAUAUUCGACGGUCCACGAGAGAAUUUACUUAUUCUUGUAUUUCAGUUUGUAUACCUCCGUCUUAAGAAGAUCUUUUUAGAGAUGGAAUUUUCUUGAUAUAUAAAUUAUAAGAUGUCAGGUCAAGGUGCAAUUUAUGAAUAAAAGGAGAUGGAUUUCAAUAAAUGGAUUUACACGGAUUGAAUUAUUUGAUUUUUUUAUGAAGGGGGAUUUGAUAGUAAGAUUGAUUAUUUGUUAUUAUGAUUGUGGCUCUAAAAUAUGCUACACAUCGCCCGUCGCUCUCAUUUCUAAAAUGAGAUAAGUCGUAACAUAGUAGGUGUAUCGGAAGAUGUACCUAGUAAGUA
rnacentral:rRNA from 1 species